rnacentral:rRNA from 1 species
GACGAACGCUGGCGGCGUGCCUAAUACAUGCAAGUCGAACGAGAGCGACCGGUGCUUGCACUGGUCAAUCUAGUGGCGAACGGGUGAGUAACACGUGGGUAACCUGCCCAUCAGAGGGGGAUAACAUUCGGAAACGGAUGCUAAAACCGCAUAGGUUCUUGAGUCGCAUGACUGAAGAAGGAAAAGAGGCUUCGGCUUCUGCUGAUGGAUGGACCCGCGGUGCAUUAGCUAGUUGGUGAGGUAACGGCUCACCAAGGCCGUGAUGCAUAGCCGACCUGAGAGGGUGAUCGGCCACAUUGGGACUGAGACACGGCCCAAACUCCUACGGGAGGCAGCAGUAGGGAAUCUUCCGCAAUGGACGCAAGUCUGACGGAGCAACGCCGCGUGAGUGAAGAAGGAUUUCGGUUCGUAAAACUCUGUUGUUAGAGAAGAACAGCGCAUAGAGUAACUGUUAUGCG